rnacentral:rRNA from 1 species
AGGGUUUGAUCAUGGCUCAGGAUGAACGCUGGCGGCAUGCCUAACACAUGCAAGUCGAACGAAGUUACCGGAGCAGCGGACUUAGGUUCAACGCACCGACUAACUUAGUGGCGGAUGGGUGAGUAACACGUGAGCAACCAACCUUUUACUCGGGAAUAACAUGGGGAAACCCAUGCUAAUACCUGAUAUUAUCAAGAAAUGGCAUCAUAAUUUGAUGAAAGAUUUAUCGGUAAAAGACGGGCUCGCGUCCGAUUAGCUAGUUGGUAAGGUAAUGGCUUACCAAGGCCACGAUCGGUAGCCGGACUGAGAGGUCGACCGGCCACAUUGGGACUGAGAACGGCCCAGACUCCUACGGGAGGCAGCAGUGGGGAAUAUUGGGCAAUGGACGCAAGUCUGACCCAGCGAUGCCGCGUGAAGGAUGGAAGGCCCUCGGGUUGUAAACUUCUUUAGACAGGGAANAAAGAAAUGACAUUACCUGUAGAAUAAGCCACGGCUAACUACGUGCCAGCAGCCGCGGUAAUUC